UACGUAGGGUGCGAGCGUUAAUCGGAAUUACUGGGCGUAAAGCGUGCGCAGGCGGUUUGUUGCGUCGGUGGUGAAAGCCCCGGGCUUAACCUGGGAAUGGCCAUGGAAACUGGCGAACUGGAGUGUGGCAGAGGGGGGUGGAAUUCCGCGUGUAGCAGUGAAAUGCGUAGAGAUGCGGAGGAACACCGAUGGCGAAGGCAGCCCCCUGGGCUAGCACUGACGCUCAGGCACGAGAGCGUGGGGAGCAAACAGG
rnacentral:rRNA from 1 species